UCCUGGCUCAGAUUGAACGCUGGCGGCAGGCCUAACACAUGCAAGUCGGACGGUAGCACAGGAGAGCUUGCUCUUUGGGUGACGAGUGGCGGACGGGUGAGUAAUGUCUGGGAAACUGCCCGAUGGAGGGGGAUAACUACUGGAAACGGUAGCUAAUACCGCAUAACGUCGCAAGACCAAAGUGGGGGACCUUCGGGCCUCACACCAUCGGAUGUGCCCAGAUGGGAUUAGCUAGUAGGCGGGGUAAUGGCCCACCUAGGCGACGAUCCCUAGCUGGUCUGAGAGGAUGACCAGCCACACUGGAACUGAGACACGGUCCAGACUCCUACGGGAGGCAGCAGUGGGGAAUAUUGCACAAUGGGCGCAAGCCUGAUGCAGCCAUGCCGCGUGUAUGAAGAAGGCCUUCGGGUUGUAAAGUACUUUCAGCGGGGAGGAAGGCGAUACGGUUAAUAACCGCGUCGAUUGACGUUACCCGCAGAAGAAGCACCGGCUAACUCCGUGCCAGCAGCCGCGGUAAUACGGAGGGUGCAAGCGUUAAUCGGAAUUACUGGGCGUAAAGCGCACGCAGGCGGUCUGUUAAGUCAGAUGUGAAAUCCCCGGGCUCAACCCGGGAACUGCAUUUGAAACUGGCAGGCUUGAGUCUCGUAGAGGGGGGUAGAAUUCCAGGUGUAGCGGUGAAAUGC
rnacentral:rRNA from 2 species